rnacentral:rRNA from 1 species
GCGUAAUGAUGGCCAGGCUGUCUCCACCCGAGACUCAGUGAAAUUGAACUCGCUGUGAAGAUGCAGUGUACCCGCGGCAAGACGGAAAGACCCCGUGAACCUUUACUAUAGCUUGACACUGAACAUUGAGCCUUGAUGUGUAGGAUAGGUGGGAGGCUUUGAAGUGUGGACGCCAGUCUGCAUGGAGCCGGCCUUGAAAUACCACCCUUUAAUGUUUGAUGUUCUAACGUUGACCCGUGAUCCGGGUUGCGGACAGUGUCUGGUGGGUAGUUUGACUGGGGCGGUCUCCUCCUAAAGAGUAACGGAGGAGCACGAAGGUUGGCUAAUCCUGGUCGGACAUCAGGAGGUUAGUGCAAUGGCAUAAGCCAGCUUGACUGCGAGCGUGACGGCGCGAGCAGGUGCGAAAGCAGGUCAUAGUGAUCCGGUGGUUCUGAAUGGAAGGGCCAUCGCUCAACGGAUAAAAGGUACUCCGGGGAUAACAGGCUGAUACCGCCCAAGAGUUCAUAUCGACGGCGGUGUUUGGCACCUCGAUGUCGGCUCAUCACAUCCUGGGGCUGAAGUAGGUCCCAAGGGUAUGGCUGUUCGCCAUUUAAAGUGGUACGCGAGCUGGGUUUAGAACGUCGUGAGACAGUUCGGUCCCUAUCUGCCGUGGGCGCUGGAGAACUGAGGGGGGCUGCUCCUAGUACGAGAGGACCGGAGUGGACGCAUCACUGGUGUUCGGGUUGUCAUGCCAAUGGCACUGCCCGGUAGCUAAAUGCGGAAGAGAUAAGUGCUGAAAGCAUCUAAGCACGAAACUUGCCCCGAGAUGAGUUCUCCCUGACUCCUUGAGAGUCCUGAAGGAACGUUGAAGACGACGACGUUGAUAGGCCGGGUGUGUAAGCGCAGCGAUGCGUUGAGCUAACCGGUACUAAUGAACCGUGAGG